rnacentral:rRNA from 1 species
UACGGGGGGGGCAAGCGUUGUUCGGAAUUACUGGGCGUAAAGGGCUCGUAGGCGGCCAACUAAGUCAGACGUGAAAUCCCUCGGCUUAACCGGGGAACUGCAUCUGAUACUGGAUGGCUUGAGAUUGGGAGAGGGAUGCGGAAUUCCAGGUGUAGCGGUGAAAUGCGUAGAUAUCUGGAGGAACACCGGUGGCGAAGGCGGCAUCCUGGACCAACACUGAUGCUGAGGAGCGAAAGCCAGGGGAGCAAACGGG